GAUGAAGAACGUAGUGAAAUGCGAUAAGUAAUGCGAAUUGCAGAAUUCCAGUGAGUCAUCGAAUCUUUGAACGCACAUUGCGCCCUUUGGUAUUCCGAAGGGCAUGCCUGUUCGAGCGUCAUUAUCACCCCUCAAGCCCUCGGCUUGGUGUUGGACGGUUUGGUGGAGGCCCCCUCGGGGGCUCCUGCCCCUCCCAAAGACAAUGACGGCGGCCUCGUUGGACCCCCGGUACACUGAGUUCUUCACGGGACACGUAUCGGACACAUGGGUUUACGGGACACGGUCUGCCUCCCCUCAGGGAGAAUCUUUCUAAGGUUGACCUCGGAUCAGGUAGGGAUACCCGCUGAACUUAAGCAUAUCAAUAAGCGGAAGA
rnacentral:misc_RNA from 1 species